UACGGAGGAUCCAAGCGUUAUCCGGAUUCAUUGGGUUUAAAGGGUGCGUAGGCGGCUUAUUAAGUCAGCGGUGAAAGCCUGGAGCUUAACUCCAGAACUGCCAUUGAUACUGAUGAGCUUGAGUACACUUGAAGUGGGCGGAAUGUGUCGUGUAGCGGUGAAAUGCUUAGAUAUGACACAGAACACCGAUUGCGAAGGCAGCUCACUAAAUUUGUAACUGACGCUGAGGCACGAAAGCGUGGGGAUCAAACAGG
rnacentral:rRNA from 1 species